rnacentral:snRNA from 1 species
GUGAAAGAAUUCAGCAGCACAUAUACUAAAAUUGGAAUGAUACAGAGAAGAUUAGCAUGGCCCCUGCACAAGAAUGACAUGCAAAUUCAUGAAAUGUUCUAUAUUUUU